UACGUUCCAGGCCCUUCCAAAGAAGUUGUUCGGCAGAGACCUGGCCUCAGGGCCUGCAAGGAGGAAGAUGAAAACCAGCACUGUUUGGACAGUGCGGGACCCCCACUGGAGCUGAGGUGCCUGGGGAUGCUUUCCAUCGGGCGUGGAGGUUGAGGGUAGCUGUGGAACCAUCUGUGAAGGUCCUCAGUGGACAGACCAACACACUUCAGAAAUAUCACCGUGGCUGCCUGCGGUGGGCACAGAAGUGGGAUCACAGCGUGGACUGGGUACACAAUGAACUAGAGGAAGAGCAGAGUCAUCCAUAAGGGGGGAGAGGGAGAGAGAGAGAGAGAGAGAGAGAGAGCCAAGGCGCCAAGAGGCCCUUAGGAGGGGCCUGGAUACCUCCUGUUGCCGUGUCAGACAGACACACGGCCCUGUCAUCUAACCGUGAGUUAGAGCUAACAGCUGAACGGAAGAAUUAAUUUCUCAUUGUGCUUCAUUUGAGUUUUAGAAAUGCCUUCAGGGUAGAAAAGUUACUAGAAUAGCUUUCUCAUAUG